UACGUAGGUGGCAAGCGUUGUCCGGAUUUACUGGGUGUAAAGGGCGUGUAGCCGGGCUGACAAGUCAGAUGUGAAAUCCGGGGGCUCAACCCCCGAACUGCAUUUGAAACUGUUGGUCUUGAGUAUCGGAGAGGCAGGCGGAAUUCCUAGUGUAGCGGUGAAAUGCGUAGAUAUUAGGAGGAACACCAGUGGCGAAGGCGGCCUGCUGGACGACAACUGACGGUGAGGCGCGAAAGCGUGGGGCGCAAACAGG
rnacentral:rRNA from 1 species